rnacentral:rRNA from 1 species
AGAGUUUGAUCAUGGCUCAGGAUGAAUGUUGGCGGUGUGCCUAAGGUAUGCAAGUCGAACGGUUCUACUUCGGUAGAAUAGUGGCAAACGGGUGAGUAACGCGUAGGUAAUCUACCUCAAAGACGGGAAUAGCCAGCUGAAAAGCUGGAUAAUACUUGAUAGUCCUAUAUCUCCUUCGGGUGUUUAUAGGUAAAGCUCCGGCGCUUUGAGAUGAGCCUGCGUCCUAUCAGCUAGUUGGUGAGGGUAAAAGCCCACCAAGGCUAAGACGGGUAGCUGGCGUGAGAGCGCGGCCAGCCACAAUGGAACUGAGAACGGUCCAUACUCCUACGGGAGGCAGCAAUUAGGAAUCUUGCGCAAUGGGGGCAACCCUGACGCAGCGACACCGCGUGGAGGAUGAAGGUCUUAGGAUUGUAAACUCCUUUUAUAUGGGAAGAAUAACUGACGGUACCAUAUGAAUAAGCACCGACUAACUACGUGCCAGAAGUAUCGGUGAUACGUAGGGUGCAAACAUUAUCCGGAUUUAUUGGGCGUAAAGAGAUGCGUAGGCGUCCUAGAAAGUCUGUUGUCAAAGCCCGGGGCUCAACCCCGGAUCGGCAUCAGAUACUCCUAGGAUUGAGGCAGAGAGAGGCGAAUGGAAUUCCCGGUGGAGUGGUGAAAUACGUUGAUAUCGGGAGGAACACCAGUGGCGUAGGCGAUUCGCUGGCUCUGUUCUGACGCUAAGGCUCGAAAGCGUGGGUAGCAAAACGGAUUAGAUACCCGUGCAGUCCACGCCGUAAACGAUGGAUGCUAGCCGUUCGACACAACUGUAUUUUUUCUUCGGAAUUAGUAUGGAAGUGUUGUGUGGCGCAGCUAACGCGAUAAGCAUCCCGCCUGGGGAGUACGGCCGCAAGGCUAAAACUUAAACGAAUUGGCGGGCACCCGCACAAGCGGAGGAGCGCGUGGUUUAAUUCGAUGGCAAUCGAAGAACCUUACCAAGGUUUGACAUGCCGGUCGUAUCCUUUCGAAAGAUUGGAGUCAGUUCGGCUGGACCGUGCACAGGUGAUGCAUGGCCGUCGUCAGCUCGUGUCGUGAGAUGUAGGGUUAAGUCCCGAAACGAGCGCAACCCCUAUCCCGUGUUACAAGUGUCUCGGGAGACUGCAGUGGUAAAACAUUGAGGAAGGUGGGGAUGACGUCUGGUCCGUAUGUCCUUUAUAUCUUGGGCGACACACGCGCUACAAUGGUCGGUACAACAGGUUGCCAAGCCGUAAGGCGGAGCUAAUCCUCUAAAACCGACCUCAGUCCGGAUUGAGGUCUGUAACUCGACCUCAUGAAGUUGGAUUCGCUAGUAAUCGCAGAUCAGCCAUGCUGCGGUGAAUACGUUCUCGGGUGUUGCACACACCGCCCGUCAAGGCAUGGAAGCAGGUAAUACCUGAAGGUGCUCUGAUUUUAUCGGGGUGACUAGGGUAAUAUUUGUGACUGGGCUUAAGUCGUAACAAGGUA